CCAAAGCGCCUCUUUCACCGAGCUGGAGAGCUGCAUCGCUCACUGUCAUGGCCAUGGGGUGUGCAACAGCAAUGGCAACUGUCACUGUAACCGAGGGUGGGCACCUCCCUUCUGUGAGAAGCUUGGUCUGGGAGGCAGUGUGGACAGUGGGCCUGUCCAGUACCACAGUCAGCUGGGCUUGGUGUUGGGUCUUCUGUUUGUCUUCCUGGUUCUCCUACCUGGGAUCCUCAUCACCUUCUACUGCUAUAAGAUCAAGAGCUCCUACUACCACAAGUGGCUCUCCCAGAGAGACAAGAACAACAAGGC